CAUGCAGAUUCAUUUUCUGCCACCGAAUACAUUAGCAUGGGAUAAUGGAAUAGGACCCUGUCCUCCUUUUUUCAGUUGGUUAAUUCACAAGAGAGGAUCAGGGUAAUGAUUAAUAGGGAUAGUUGGGGGCAUUAAUAUUUAAUUGUCAGAGGUGAAAUUCUUGGAUUUAUGAAAGAUUAACUUCUGCGAAAGCAUCUGCCAAGGAUGUUUUCAUUAAUCAAGAACGAAAGUUAGGGGAUCGAAGACGAUCAGAUACCGUCGUAGUCUUAACCAUAAACGAUGCCGACCAGCGAUUAGGAGACGUUGAAUACAAAACACCUCUAUAUAUAAUUCAGUGUAUGGCUUCACGGCUGUACAUUGAUUGU
rnacentral:rRNA from 1 species